GGCAGCAAGAAAACUGGUGCGUAUACCAAUAAACUGGUAUUAGAACUGGACAAAACUGGUACACGGGAGGUGGAGCUUAUAUUUUUUUCCGCUAAGCUCGCAUCUAUUGGCUGACUGCUGAUGGAACGUCACGAGUCUGGGCGGAGCGUAGAGUGAGUUAUACUGCGCAUGCGCAGCUCAGACAACAGAGAGAGCCAGCCAGCGGGUACGUCGCGCCAUAACAGCUGAUUGAGUACGAUGACCUUUCUCCGCGCACGGCGCGCUAUUGACGUCUCUGGACCUCAGCGUCUCUGCCGGAGUCCGGUGGAUCUGCCGACUUCACUGAGCUGGAACAGGUCGCCAGAACACUGUGUACAAAGUCUCCACUUUGAUGACACACUUCUACACAAAGAGCAAGCGACUUUCCAACUCCAACAAAAAAACAAACAUAAAAAAACUGUACCAUUGUAACUAAUAAAUAAAAAUUUGUGAGUUUCAGGAA